AUUGAACGCUGGCGGCAGGCCUAACACAUGCAAGUCGAACGAGUGGCGGACGGGUGAGUAAUGUCUGGGAAACUGCCUGAUUGAGGGGGAUAACUACUGGCAACGGUAGCUAAUACCUCAUACCAUCAUAUGUGCCCAGUUGGGAUUAGCUAGGUGGUGGGGUAAAGGCUCACCAAGGCGACGAUCCCUAGCUGGUCUGAGAGGAUGACCAGCCAAACUGGAACUGAGACACGGUCCAGACUCCUACGGGAGGCAGCAGGGGGGAAUAUUGCACAAGGGGCGCAAGCCUGAUGCAGCCAUGCCGCGUGUAUGAAGAAGGCCUUCGGGUUGUAAAGUACUUUCAGCGGGGAGGCGUUACCCGCAGAAGAAGCACCGGCUAACUCCGUGCCAGCCGCCGCGGUAAUAC
rnacentral:rRNA from 1 species